rnacentral:tRNA from 1 species
GCCGCUGUAGCUCAGUCGGUAGAGCAGGGGACUGAAAAUCCCCGUGUCAACAGUUCGAUUCUGUUCGGCGGCA